rnacentral:rRNA from 1 species
CGGCGGACGGGUGAGUAACGCGUGGGUAACCUGCCUUACACAGAGGGAUAACAGUUAGAAAUGACUGCUAAUACCGCAUAAGACCCCGGUACCGCAUGGUACAGAGGUAAAAACUGAGGUAGUGUAAGAUGGACCCGCGUCUGAUUAGGUAGUUGGUGAGGUAACGGCUCACCAAGCCGACGAUCAGUAGCCGGCCUGAGAGGGUGGACGGCCACAUUGGGACUGAGACACGGCCCAGACUCCUACGGAAGGCAGCAG